UGAUUACAGGGUUACAGGGUCAUGUCAGCCUCAGAGACUGGAAUCACAGGAUCAUCAAGGGCUAUGGGAGUUCAUGAUGGUUCCUCUAUGUUUUGAUGGUGAAAAUGAGUAUAGAAGGCAUUGAGCUCAUAGGGAAAUGAAGCCCUGUUGUCUCUUAUGUUGUUUGAUUUUACUAAUAUUAUUUAAGCACUACCACAACUGUCGAAAAUCCUUUAUUGAUUCAAGUUUAGUCUGGAAUUGGCACUUCACCUGUGAGAGGUCUUUCUGGAGAUCAUAACUGGACCACUAGUACCUGUCUGGGUCACCAGACUUGAAUGCCUCUGAUCUGGCCUUCAGCAGAUUAUCGAUCUCAGGUCUUCUGGUUGGGGAAGACUAUGAGUGAUUUCGUGGGGAUACACUCAUCUGCAACUAUUUUAAUAAUGUCCAUGACAACCAUUGUGUAUUCAUUCAGAUGCACAGAUGAAUCAUUGAACAUGAUCCAGUCCACCUACUCGAAGCAAUCUUGUAGCCUCCCUUGACCACUUCUUUGGCAUCCUAAUCUCUCGAGUUUUGCUUUUUAAUCACUGCUUCUAUGCAGAUAGGAGAAGGACAGCUAAGUAAUCCAAUUUACCGAAGCGUGAUCUGGGCAUGGAGUUGUAGGCAUUUCUUAUCUUUGUAUAAUAGAGGCUUACUGUGUUGGGACCUCUGGUGCUGCAGGUUAUCUGUUGGGGAAGUCCCUGACUUUGAUUUGAAAUGCAUCAGGAUGGACUGUUUCUUGUUUGGAGAUGGCACCAGGCAGUAUCUCAAGCACUUGAUUAUUGUCGGCUGCUGGUGGUAUAUAAACUGCAGUCAGGAUUAUGGAGGAGAACUCCCUAGGUCAAUAAAAUGGAUGGCAUUUGAUCAUUAGGUGUUCAUGGUUGGGGGGAACACAAGUUUGACGAAGCUGCCACAUCAGAGCACCACUGUGAGUUUAUCAAGAAACACACAUCCUCCACCUUUUGCCUUUUCAGAAUCAGUAGUUCAGUCCAUGCUGUGAAUCUGGAAGCCUUCGGGUCUGAUUGCUAUAUCUGGUGUGCUGGGAGUAAGCUAUGUCAUGGUCAAACAUGGAAUAUAACUAAGUUCAAGGUAAAAUUUAUUAUUAGAGUGCAUACAUGUCACCACAUACAAUUCUAAGAUUAUUUCUCUGCGGGCAUACUUGGCAAAUCUAUAGAAGAGUAACUAAACUGUAAACAUCAGGAAUUGUUAACUGUGAAUAAACUGUGCAAAUGCUGAUAUAAAUAAAUAGCAAUAAAUAAUACACAUGAAAUAGCAACAUAUGAGAGUCCAUAGAUUAGUGUAGCCAUCCCCUUUUGUUCAAGAGCCUGGUGGUUGAGGGGUAGUAACUGUUCUUGAACCUGGUGGUGUGAGUCCUGAGGUUCUGGAACCUUCUACCUGAUGGCAGCAGUGAGAAGAGCACGGCCUGCGUGGUGAGGAUCUUCGAUGAUGGAUGCUGCUUUUCUAUGGCAAUGCUUCAUGUAGUUGUGCUCAAUGGUUGGAAGAGUUUUACCCAUGAUGUACUGAGACAUAUCCACUACCUUUUGCAGGAUCUUCCACUCAAAGGCACUGAUGUUCUCAUACCAAGCCGUAAUGCAGCCAAUCAGUACAUUUGCCACCGCACAUCUGUAGUAAAUUGCCAGGGUUUUCCAUGACAUGCCAAACCUCCAUACACUCCUGAGGAAGUAGAGACACAGUCGUGCUUUCUUUAUUCGUGCAAUUAUAUUUAUAUGAUGGCUCUAGGACAGUUCCUCUGGGAUAGUGACAAACUCUUUUUUCCCCUCCAUUAUAGCAAACUUGCCUUCAGGUCCUCAAUUUUGUUCUCCUGCGACUGCACAUUUGAUAACAAGAUGCUGGGUAGGGGAGGUCUCAUUCCUCUGUGUUUCAGCCUGGCUUGGAGUCUCCCUCUCUCCAUUCCCCCUCUUGCUUCCAGCCAAGGUGACGGACCCUUGUCUGCUUAAAGGUGCAAUACCUGCUUGUUUGAGAAUCUGUCAAAUCCUUCUUAAAAUUGUAGAUGAUCAUGAAAUCAGUGAAAUUUGUCCAGGAGAAAAUAAACAUAUUAUCAGAAUGUGAGACACUGAAGAGUUAUGAGAUGCCAAGGAAUCUAGGUGUCCUCAUGAAAGAUUUGCAAAAUGCUAAUAUGCUAUAUUGCAAAUAGCUAGGAAAGCUAACAGAAUAUUAUAGAUUAUUUUUAAGGGGUAAGAUACUAAAUAAAGGAGUUUAUGCUUCAGUUAUAUUGGGCGAUUGCUGAGACAUCAUCUGGAGAAAUCUUGUGCAGUACUGACUUCCUUAUUUAAAGAAGGAUGUCAAUGCAUUGGAAGUACUUCGGAGAAUAUACAUGCAAAAAUAUACCUGGAAGAGAGGCUUUCCUUGUGAGGUUUGGCCAGGCUGGGAUUGCGUCCACAAGUUUAUAAGUGUGAGAGGUUAUGGAAGAUCUUAAAGAGGAAGAUGUCAUCUCUGAUGGGAUAAUUGAGAACUAGGGAUUGCUGUUUUAAAAUAAAGACCCAGUCAUUAAGACAGAGAUGAGGUGAUUCUUUUUUUUCAAAUGCAUCUGAUUUCUUGGACCUAUCUUCCUAAACUCGUGGAAGAAAACUCUUUGGUUUCUUUUAAGGCAGCAGUAGACGGAUUCUUAAUAAGCAGGAGAGUAAAGGGUUACUGCAGCAAAGUUGAGAUUACAAUCGUGUCAAUAACAAUAAAAGCAUAAAACAGGUUUGAGAGGCUGAGCACUCCACUCCUGUUCCUAAUUCCUAUUCUCAUAUGUAUACUCAUACUGGAGAAAAAGAAAUAAUUGAAUGGAAACUGAGCAAAUUAACUGUGUAAGGACUUCAAUUUGUAAUGAGGAGGAUUUAAGCUGAUGGAAUGAGAACACCCUCUUCAUAUCACAUCAUGCAGAGUAAAUCCUUUGAUGGAUUUACUGAGUAUGCUUGCAAGAAAAUAGAUCUCAGGUUUGUAUAUGGUGACAUAUAUGUACUUUGAUAAUAAAUUUACUUUGAACUUUUAGUCAUUAGGUUUUUCUGGGAGUGAUGCACCAUCAAUAACUCUCGGAGAUGUGAGGCAAGACAUAGGCUUUUAUUGGCUGGAAGAAAGAACAAGCAGCAAUUGACCACCACACGACAUCCUGGAGACUGAGGCUGUGUCUCCAAUCGCCAUUAUACUGGGGUCCGUGGGAGGAGCCACAGGAGCAGUCAGCAGGGGACGUGUCCAGACAGGUAUAUGUAGUUCACCACAUUCACCCCCCCCCCUUUGUUUUAAAAGAGAAUCCUCACGGGGCGAAGUUUCUUACAAGUAUAUUUACAGGUUAAGUCUAUCAGGUGGUCGAAUCUGUCACUGCGAUCUACGUAGUACUGGUGGUGAUUGUACAGGUGCCGGUGGUGCUUGCACUGGAGACGGUGGUUGUGCUGGUUCCAGCCUGACUGGAGGUGUCAGCCCACUAGGCGUCAGUGAUCCUUCAUGCGUGUGCGAGGCACCUGGUAUAUGUGUGUGCGAGACGCCUGGUAUAUGAGUGUCGUGAGGAGUCUGUGUAGGGCUCGGUGUGCGCAGUGUCACCUCGGGUACAGGGUUCAUAGUUACCGUGGAGAGUUCGGGGUAGUGGUCUGCUGCUCCUGCGGGCACCAGGUCGCGGACAGAGACCGUGUCCUCCCACCCAUCAGGUAAGACCACAUAGGCAUACUGGGGGUUCGCAUGUAGUAGGUGAACCCUCUCGACCAGCGGGAAGUAUUUAUUGCUCCUCGCAUGUUUCCGGAGCAGCACUGGCCCUGGGGAUGUCAGCCAAGCCAGUAGGGUAGUCCCAGUGGCAGACUUCCGGGGAAAAGAAAAUAGGCACUCAUGAGGGGUGGCAUUGGUGGACGUACAUAACAGGGAGCGGAUAGAGUGGAGUGCCUCAGGGAGGACCUCCUGCCAUCAAGAGACCGGCAACCCUUUCGACUUAAGGGCUAAAAGUGUGGCCUUCCACACUGUGGCAUUCUCCCUCUCCACCUGUCCAUUUCCCCGGGGAUUAUAGCUCGUGGUCCUACUAGUAGCAAUGCCCCUAGCCAGCAGGUACUGGUGCAGCUCGUCACUCAUAAAAGAGGACCCUCUAUCACUGUGGAUAUAGCAGGGAUAUCCGAACAGUGAAGAGCUGGCGCAGGGCUUUUAUGACGGACGUGGCAGUGGUGUUGGGGCAGGGGAUGGCAAAGGGGAACUGCGAGUACUCGUCGAUAAUGUUGAGAAAGUAGACAUUGCGGUUGGUGGAGGGAAGGGGGCCCUUAAAGUCAACACUCUGUCACUCAAAGGGGUGGGUGGCCUUGAUAAGUUGUGCCUUUUCAGGACGGUAGAAGUGCGGUUUGCACUCAGCGCAGACUUGGCAGUCCCUGGUCAUCGUCCUGAUGUCCUCAAGGGAGUAAGACAGGUUCCGGGCUUUCACGAAAUGGUAAAAUCGGGUGACCCCUGGGUGGCAAAGAUCUGCAUGGAGGGUGUAUAGCUGGUUGAGCUGUGCGCUGGCACACGCUCCCCAGGAUAGGGCAUCAGGGGGCUCAUUGAGCCUUCCAGGCCGGUACAGGAUAUCAUUGUUGUAGGUGGAGAGUUCUGUUCUCCACCUCAAAAUUUUAUCAUUUUUGAUUUUGCCCUGCUGUUGGUUGCUGAACAUGAACGCAACCGAGCGCUGGUCGGUCAGCAAGGUGAACCUUUUGCCGGCGAGAUAGUGCCUCCAGUGCUUAAUAGCUUCCACUAUGGCCUGGGCUUCUUUCUCCACUGUGGAGUGCCGAAUUUCAGAGCCUUGGAGGGUACAAGAAAAGAAUGCUACUGGCCUGCCUGCCUGAUUGAGGGUAGAAGCAAGCGCGGAAUCAGAGCGUCACUCUCUACUUGGUCUCGUCCACCGCAUGCAUCGUUGCUUUGGCAAUGUCCCCUUUAAUGCGGCUGAAGGCCGUGCUGGCCGCGGCUGAGAGGGGAAAUGCGGUGGACUAGACCAGGGGGCAGGCCUUGUCUGCGUAAUGGGGGACCCAUUGGGCGUAAUAGGAAAAGAAACCCAGGCACCAUCUGAGGGCUCUGAGGGUGGUGGGAAGAGGGAGUUCCAACAGGGGGCGCAUACGGUCGGGAUCAGGGCCAAUGACCCUGUUUUCCAUGACAUACCCAAGGAUAGUGAGUCGGGUGGUUCAGAACAUACACUUGUCCCUAUUAUAAGUAAGGUUCAGGGCUUUGGCCACUUGGAAAAAUCGUUGGAGGUUGGUGUUGUGAUCCGGCCAGUCAUGACCACAGAUGGUAAUGUUAUCCAGAUAGGGAAAUGUGGCCUUCAGUUGGUACUGGUCCACCAUCCGGUCCAUUUCCCUCUGGAAGACCGAGACACCAUUUGUGACACCGAAGGGGACGCACAGGAAGUGAUAGAGCCUGCCGCCCGCCUCGAAGGCGGUGUAGGGGUGGUCCUCUGGGUGGAUGGGGAGCUGGUGAUAAGCGGAUUUCAGAUCUAUUGUCGAGUACACCUUGUACUGAGCUAUCUGGUUGACCAUAUCCAUGAUGUGGGGUAGGGGGUACACGUCAAGCUGCGUGAACCUAUUGAUAGUCUGGCUAUAGUCCACGACCAUCCUAUUUUUCUGCCCAGUCUAAACAACAACCACCUGGGCCCUCUAAGGACUUGUGCUUGGCUCAAUGAUCCCCUCCCUGAGCAGCCGCUGCACCUCUGACUGAAUGAAGGCCCUGUCCCCCGCGCUGUUCCUCCUGCUUUUAGUUGCCACAGGUUUACAGUCAGGGGUUAGGUUGGUGAACAACGGUGGGGGAGGGAUCUUGAAGGUGGAGAGGCUGCAAGUGGUGUCAGUAGUGCAGCUGUCAGCAUGGUGUGUGGGUCAGUGUGUGUGUGUGGUCAGUAGCGGGGUAUAUGACAAAGUCCCACAAAACUGAGGAUUCCUGACAGUGACUGGUGGGAGGGGCCCGUCAUCUGCCAUAGUCACACUUUUGAGGUGGCUCUGGAAGUCCAGCCCCAAUAGCACAUGCGCACACAGUUGAGGCAUGACCAGUAGUGCAAAGUCCUGAUAUUCUGUGGCCUGCACCACCAGUGUCGCUACACAACCCCACCGGAUGUCUGUGGAAUGCGACCCAGAAGCCAAGGUGACCCUCUGGCUUACCGGCCGUGUCACGAGCCCGCAGCGUUGCACCGUGUCCGGGUUAAUAAAUCUCUCAGUGCUGCCCAUGUCAAACAGGCAGCUAGUCCUUUGCCCCUCCACCAGGAUGUCCAUCAUUGACCUUGCAAGCUGGUGUGGGGCACUUCGGUCAAGGGUUACGGAGGCCAGAGUUGAACCACCGUCUUGGUGCCCGGUAAGCACCGGUGGGUUGGGGGCGGGGCGAGGUGGCGCCGACAAAGAUGGCCGCCCCCAUGUCUUGCACGAGGCGGGCAGGCAAGAUGGCAGCGACCAAGAUGGUGGCCCCCAUGCCUCACACACAGCGGUGCCCGACCCCGCUCGUGGUUCCGACUUACAGACCUUGGCGAAAUGGCCCUUCUUCCGGCAGCUGGAGCAGGUAGCUUCUCGAGCCGGGCAGCGUUUUCAGGGGUGCUUUUCGAGUCCACAGAAGUAACACUGCACGGACUUGCGACUGGCAGCAGCUGUGGUCGGUUUCGCGGAGUUCAUGGACUCUCGACUGGCAGCGGCGAUGGUGAAUUAGCUUGCGGGUGGUGGGGUCUGAAGUGUCCAUGGAACAGGUGGGGGAUCGCAUGGCUGGACAGCGUCAGCGUUGUGCAGAUCAGCCUCUAGCGUGUCGACCGUCUCGAUCGCCGAGCGUAAGGUAAGAUCGGCAUUUUCCAGCAGCCACUGGCACACGUACACUGACCUGAUCCCCGUAAUGAAGGCGUCUCAUACUAGUAGCUCCGCAUGUUGUUCUGCCGUCAGUCCUCUGCAGUCACAGGCUUGCAUGAGUGUCUGUAGGGCUCGGAGAAACUCGGCGCUCGACUCGUUGGGUCGCUGUCGCUGCGUCGCUAAGCGAUGUCUUGCGUAGAUAGUGUUCCCCAGCCGCAGGUACUGUCUUUUGAGGGCGUCCAGUGCCCCUUGGUAGGUCAGCAGGUCUCUGAUAAGGGAGAAUACUUUCGGACUUACUCUGGAUAGUAGGAUUUUGUACAUUGUGGCAGGCUCAGUCACUGGAAUCGCUUCCAAGUAUGAUUGGUAGCAUGCAAGCCAGAGUUCAAAGGCGAGAGCUGCUUCUGGAGCUUGGGGGUCCAAGUCUAAUUUUUCCGGACGUAAAAUACAUUCCAUGUUUUAAAACUUCCAGCCAAUAAAAUUGAUGCACCAAUAAUAACUCUCGGAGACGUGAGGCGAGAUAUUGGCUUUUGUUGGCUGGAAGAAAGAACAAGCAGCAAUUGCCACCACACUACAUCCUGGAGACUGAGGCCGGGGCUGUGUCUCCAAUCACCUUUAUACCGGGGUCUGUGGGAGGAGCCAUGGUCAGUGGGAGAAGCCACAGGAGCAGUCAGCGGGAGGGGGGGGGGGCGUGUCCAGACAGGUAUAUGUAGUUCACCACAGGGAGAGACUAUGGUUAGGAAAGCAGAGCUAACAUGGAUAGAAGCAGUGUCCCAGGGAAGGUGGAAGACGUACCUACCUGUGCUGAGCUUUGCUGGAAAUGGUGCUUUUGUUAAGUGUUUUCAUUGUAUAGAUUAGAGGAACUUAACAAACCUCAGCAUCACAUAAAAAAAGAAUCUGUACUAAUAGAAUCUAAGUUGAUAGAGUUCACAGCCUAUAAUAUCCUCCUCCCCACAUGGCAUGCAAUUGGAUACACUUCACUAAUGUGUAUACGGGCCUUUGGAGUUACUUCAAAGUUUUCAGGGUACAGGUGGUGCUUUUUUUCCAAUUUUCCAUUGUGAGUGUCACCUUCAGUUUUUAGUGCUUUAUUUAAAAUGUUUUUAUUUCAAAGAUAAACUUUAUUCAUAAAAUAUUUGCAGGAAAUACAAAAAAUACAUGGUUUAUAUUCAUACAUUAAUAGUGUUGUCUGGUUUAUCUAUCUAUUGUGCUAUUACAUUAGUACAAUCUACUUACAAAGCUCAUGUGACCUGCUUAGACAAUUUGCCCUUCAGGUAUUUCCACAGGACCCAACCUCUCAGUGUCCAAUGGCAGCAGGAGUUUGGGUUGAAGUUCUUAUCACAAACCACUGAGUUGCUUGCAUCAAGUUUUAGCACGCACUCCUGCAACCUGUGAUGUGUCAGGCAGCAGUACUCCCUUAUGGACAUCACAUUGUACUGAAAGGCCAGCAAACUUCAGGCACCAAAAUGAGUCUUACCAAACUGAAUGAUCCUCCAGCAGCACUUGAAGUUUGUCUCACUGUUCAUCCCUGAGGACAGCCUGUAGAUCAGAGAGUCGUCAGUUUUGCAGCAUUUUGGGAUGAUCCUCAAAGAGGAACCUUGCAUCCUUUCCAAGCCUUCUUUGGCAGUGCACAGUCUGCAGAGGUGGGUGAUCGAUUCACAUCCCAAGGGGAAGGUGCACUAGGAAUGAGACUCCAAAUGUGCAGGAAGGAGCAGAUGUGGAAGCUCCCUCUCACUGCUAGCCAAGAGCUUGGGGCUUGAACAAUGAGGCAUUCAAUAAUGAUAAUGAUGAGGUAUUCUGCCAAAUAGUUUUGACAGUCUGCUUGGGGAACAAUCCCACAGGAUCCAUCAUGUCCUUCUCCCACAGUGCCUGCAGAGCAUUCCGUGCUGACUACUGGUUAAUGGAUUUGUAGUAAAAGGUGUUUCUUCCAAAUGAACUUUUCUGCCAAGGACAGGCAAUGCAGCAACUUUAACUGAAUAUGAUCUUACCAAGGUUAGGCCCAACCUUCACAGAUUGAUGUCAGUGUACAGUGGCACCUGGAGCUUGCAUACCUCUGUUCAAUGUACCAUUUGAUGCAGGCACACACAGAACCUUAAAACCAUUAAAGAAUUACUGAAGUAAUCUUUAGUUGCUAUAUUUUUAAGAACUAUAGGAAUUAAUGCUUAGGCCAGUGAAAUAAAUUUGUUAUGACUGCAGUUAUUGGAGGGCUUGAUUUUUGAGGAGGGACUGGAUAAACUGGGCUGUUUUCCUUGGAGUGAAGGAGGCUGAGGGGUGAACUUGUAGAAGUUUAUAAAAACAUGAGAAGUGUAGUUAAGGUGGAUGGUCACAGUUUUCUUUCCCCCAGGGUAGGAGCGUCUACAACUGAAAGCUAAAAAUUUAAGGUGAGAGAAGAAAUAUUCAAAGAGGAUCUGAGAGGCAAAAUUGUCACAUAGACAGUGGUGGGCAUAUAUAAUGAGCUGCCAGACAAAGUGGUAAGGGUGGAUACAAGCAUGGUUAAAAGACAUUUGGGCAGGUUCAUGAAUAGGAAAGGUAUAGAGGGAUAUGGGCCAAGUGCUGGCAAAUGGAACCAGCUCAGAAAGGCACCUUGAUCAGCAUGGAUCUGUUGGGACAAACGGCCUCUUUGCAAGUGUAUAAUUCUAUAGCGACAUGAAAAGUUUUGUUUCAAUUAUAUCAUUCGGUCAUAAUAUUUUUUAAUCAUACAAAGCGGGGAAUGAUUAAUUCUCUCUCCUUUUGAAUAUUUUAAUGUUGUUUGCUCCCUCUAUUCAACAGCAGUCAUUAGUAUACAUUGAGCUACACCCAAUUUACAUUGCGAUAUCACAUGAUGCAUUUGUGACUUGUUCCAGACAUGCAGCAUAAUUAACUACCCAUUACAAGAUGACCACAAAUUUAGUUGCCGGUACACAGUGUAGGGUGGGGCAGAAGAUAUUACCAAACCUGUGAAAGAUGUUCCAGUGGUGUGAACGCUGAAGCACAAAAACCUGCCAAGCAGUUCCAAUGCCCUUGAACUCCGUUGAUCAUCUCAAUUAUGCAAUUGUGAAUGUUGGCUUUACAUCAGUUCCUAGUAACACAGUUCAGUCUUCACAACACAGAGAAUUACCUGUGGCAAAAGUAUCGUGAUUGUUUCUACAAAUUUCUGCCAACAGUUGAUGAGCAAUUUGAAUCUCUGAGUAAUGGUUUGAGCAUAAUAUUUAUGCUAUCAACGUAUCUUCAAGAGAUUCAAUGUUUAUUGUUUUGAAAUAGUCCUGGAACUAUGCGGGUCUUCAGUUUCAAUGAACAGUCGAGUGAAAAGAUCAUUUAGUACCAGUGAAAACAAAAGGUGUUUAAUUUUGUGAAGUAAUUCAGAAGUUGUAGGACCAUUUUUACCUGAAUCAGCAGAACUUGUAAAGAACAACAAAUUUGGAACUGCAAAUUUGGCAUCUUUUGACACAGAAUGUUAUGUGCCAAGUUUCUACAGAUUUAGCUGGAGUUAUCGAGCACACUGAAUCUCACAUUUGAUUUUGCACUGAACAUUGCAGCAUCUCCAGAGUGAUGCUGAGGAAUGUGGUCCAGUGCAAGGUACAAAUAAAGUAGCAAUUUAUAUUCACAGAGCAGCAGCAAAGACCAAAGUUCCAAAGCAGAAUCUGAGGCAUAUAGAUAAGAUAUGCAUCAAUUGAUGUGAAUGAUGCUAUAGAAGGUAGUGUGUAUCAAUUCAAUAUACCAAAAAAAUUUUACUGCCAGAAAACUAGGCAGAUAUCUCCAGAAAGCAAGUCAAAAUCUAGGGAGUGAAUCAAAACUACUUCAGUGGAGUCAUUUUUUUUUCUGAGCAGAAGAUGCUGUAGUUUAAGGAAAUUGUGGUUUGGGAAAUUGUUAGUGAAGUGUGUUUGUGCAACAAUAGUCCAUAAAGACUAAACCACAUCUGUAAUCUCCCCAAUUAUCAUAUGAUAGAUAUUAUCUAAAUUGAGAUGUUGAAUGGCAGAUGAGGUUUAUAUAACAAUUGUGACCCUCAGGCUCGCCCGGCUCGUGUUCGUCUAGGAGAAUCAGCCUUCGGCCCCGCCGAGCUGGGUAAUCACGUUUGUGUGGAUGCUGUGUAAUGUACCCCCAGUUACAAACCCACAACGCAAAAUAUCAGACAGUACACUAUAUGCAAUCAAAUGACUGAACUUUAUGAAUGUUAACAUGAAUAUGGGGUUAUUAAUGAAAAUGAAAAAGGCCCAAGUCAAGUCAAAGUCCCGUUGGAGCUCCUUCUACCACCAUUGGUCUCCUCUGAAUGUCACAGACCCUCAGAUCCCAGUCCACUCCAUCUGGUGGUCUACCAGCUCUCUCCACGCACGCCUUCCCUCUUCAUCUCUCCUCGACAAAAGACCGUGAAAAGACACCUUUCUAGACUCACAGGACACAGCAACAUGCAUCCUGUUAUCUCCAGCCAUAACCCAAGCAUUGCUGCUACAGAGAAACCGUUACCUCAGCAGUGAACAUUACAAAGUAGCCAUUACAUUAGCAGUGAAACCUUACAGCACGUAACACAAGUUUAAUGUUCCUUGACCUCCUUGCUACACUGGACACAGUUGAACGUAUCAUCCUUAACUCUCCAAGUCUGCUCCAAACUGUCCAAAUGCAACUGGCUUAAUAUGAAGUUUUUUCUUUCUUUUCUUGUUUUAUCAAUGAAGGAGAACCCCCGGCCACCCCCCGCCCCCAAUAUUCUUGGCUCCAUUCUUUCCAUUAAGGAUAGGUUGUCUAGCCGUGACAUCAUCUGUUGACCUGGGGUAAGCAUGCAGACUGCUGACAUCUGGAUUUACUCACCAUUCUUCUUGAGAGUGCAGCCACUGGUGCGGAUUCACUGAGGGACCUUAUAUUUAACAUGCAACCUUCUGCCUGUGGGAAGACUUGACCAGCUUCAGAAUGGCUAAUAGCUACAAAAGUGGAGGGAAAAAGCUAUCAAAUACAGACACCUGAUGGGUCAGAUCAAAGACCUAACUGGCGCAGGGUCUGUGGAAUACUUCGGAUUUGUGGUCGGAGCGAGGGGUCUCUGGACAAAAAAGAAUGACGAACUGUUGCAGUUCAUCGGAGGCAGAGGAUUCAAGACAUUUGCAAGGAACAUUUGCAGCCUAACGAUCAGGCUGACGAUUGACGUCUUGCAGACGUUCAUGGACGGCUAGCUGGUGAAAGGUAACAGUCAGGUUGUGGGCAUGUAAUGUUGGUGCUGGAAUGUGUGGUGAUGCUUGAGAGCUGUCCGAACACAUCCUUCACUCUUUUUUGGUUAGUAACACAAAUAAUUCAUUUCUUUCCAAGGUACAUGUGAUAAAUAGAUGAAUCAGAUCUGGAGCAGCUCUAUUCAAUCAGCCCUCUGAGGAGUGUAUUAAGAACCUUGUAGCAAGUUUGUUAUUUUUCUAUGGCAUGAACACAAAUCUGGAUGUAUACCACUAUCAGGUCACCUCUCAUCCUCCAUCGCUCCAAGGAGAAAAGGCCGAGUUCACUCAACCUAUUCUCAUAAGUCAUGCUCCCAAAUCCAGGCAACAUCCUUGUAAAUCUCAUCUGCACCCUUUCUAUGGCUUCCACAUCCUUCCUAUAGUGAGGUGACCAGAACUGAGCACAGUACUCCAAGUGGGGUCUGACCAGGGUCCUAUCUGGCUGCAACAUUACCUUUUGGGUCCUAAGUCCCAUGAUUGAUGAAGGCCAAUGCACCAUAUGCUUUCUUAACAACAGAGUCAACCUGUGCAGCAUCUUUGAGUGUCUUAUGGACUUCGACUGUAAGAUCCCUCUGAUCCUCCACACUGUCAAGAGUCUUACAAUUAAUACUAUAUUCUGUCAUCAUAUUUGACCUACCAAAAUGAACCAACUCACACUAUACUGGGUUGAACUCCAUCUGGCUCUUCUCAGCCCAGUUUUGCAUCCUAUCAAUGCCUGCUGUAACCCCUGACAGCUCUCCACACUAUCCACAACAGCUCCAAUGUUUCUGUCAUCAGCAAAUUUACUAACCCAUCCCUCCACUUCCUCAUCCAGGUCAUUUAUAAAAUUCACAAAGAGUAGGGGUACCUGAACAGAUUCCUGAGGCACACCACAGGUGUGACCCAUCUACAACAACUGCUUGGCACAACUGUAGGCAAGCCAAUUCUGGAUCCACAAAACAAUGUCCCCAUGGAUCCCAUGCCUCCUUACUUUCUCAAUAAGCCUUGCAUGGGGUACCUUAUCAAAUGCCUUGCUGAAAUCCAUAUACACUAUGUCUACUGCUCUACCUUCAAUGUGUUUGGUCACAUUCUCAAAAAAUUCAAUCACGCUCGUAAGACAUGACCUACCUUUCAUAAAGCCAUGCUGACUACUCCUAAUCAUAUUAUACCUCUCCAAAUGUUCAUAAAUCCUGCCUCUCAGGAUCUUCUCCAUUAACUUACCAACCACUGAAGUAAGACUCAAUGGUCUGUAAUUUCCUGGGCUAUUUCUACUCCCAUUCUUGCGAAAUGGAACAACAUCGCAACCCUCCAAUCCUCCGGAUCCUCUCCCAUCCCCAUUGAUGAUGCAAAGAUCAUCACCAGAGGCUCAGCAAUCUCCUCCUUCAUCUUGUGCAGUGGCCUGGGGUACUUCCCUCUGGUCCUGGUCACUUAUCCAACUUGAUGCUUUCCUAAAGCUUCAGCACAUCCUCUUUCUUAAUAUCUACAUGCUCAAGCUUUUCAGUUCACUGUAAGUCAUCCCUACAAUCACCAAGAUCCUUUUCUGUAGUGAAUACUGAUGCAAAGUACUCAUUAAGUACCUCUCCUAUCUCCUCUGGUUCCAUACACACUUUUCUAUUCUCCUUGAAAUAAAUUCUGGCAUUGCAUUUGCCUUCUUUACCACAGACUCAACCUGUAAAUUAACCUUCUGGGAGUCUUGCACAAGGACACUUAAGUCCCUCUGCACCUCUGAUGUUUGAACCUUCUCCCCAUUUAAAUAAUAGUCCGCAUUAUUGUUCCUUUUACCAAAAUGCAUUAUCAUACAUUUUCCAACAAUGUAUUCCAUCUGCCUCUUUUUAAUCCUUUCUUCCAAUUAGUCCAAGUCCUGCUGCAAUCGCAUUGCUUCCUCAGCACUAACUACCCUUCCACCUGUCUUUGUAUAAUCUGCAAACUUUGUUACAAAGCCAUCAAUUCCAUUAUCCAAAUCAUUGACAAGCAAUAUGAAAAGUAGCGGUCCCAGUACUGACCCCUGAGGAACACCAUUAGUCACUGGCAGUGACUUUUAUUUCCACUCGCUGGUUUCUGCCUGUCAGCCAUUCCUCUAACUAUUUUGAAUCAAAACUGGUUAUUGAUUAUACUUUUCAGGCAUCGACAAAUUCUUUGGUGAUUUCCAUGCAAGUCAAAGAUCCUCACAGUUGUGUUUUGCAUUUUACUUAGGGAGGAGUUAAGACCAGAAAUAGCUGCACCGAGGAACAUGUUUUAAUAACAAUAAUAUCAAACUAUGCAGGUUAAAAGUACAACAUUAUAUAAAGUCCAUGCACAUUAAAUCAUCUGAAACAGCCUGGAGUCCACGUAAAAGCAGUUCCAUGUGGGAUUCUUUGUUUUACAUGAUUAACCACAGAAUUGAAUCAUUUAAAAAGGGAAUAUGGUUAAACCAUCCUUACGUAUUAUUAGAUAAGGAUAAAGUGUUCCAUUCAGCCAUUUGAGACCAAUCUGAUGUGCUGUUAGAUCAUUGGUAUCCAUAGAACAACAGCUUGUUAUACAUGCAAAGUGUCUUUAAUGUAGUAAAAUGUUCCUUUACAGAAUUUGACACUGAGGUAAGAAAAAUGGCAGAUGUCCAAACACAUCCAAGUUGCAGAUGUACCACUGCUGUUGGUAAAAUCUCAGAUGAUAAUGAGGCAUACAAGAGUGAGAUAGAUUGCCUGGUUGAGAACUAUUACCACUCCAGCCUCAAACUCAAUAUCAGCAAGACAAAGGAUUUGAUUACAAACUUCAGGAAGGGGAAGUUGGGAGAACAGACUCCAGGUGUCAUUGAGUGGACAGGGUGAGAGCAUUAGUUCCUGGAUGUGAACAUCCCAGAGGGUCUGUCCUGGGCCUGGCAUAUUGAUGCAAUCACAGCAAAGGCAUGCCAGUCACUCUUCUUUAUUCAGAGUCUGAAGAGAUUUGCUAUGUCUGCAUAUUUAUCUGGGCUUCUCAGAUGCUUUUCCAUAUUUAUCUGAACGUCCCUGUUAUCUAUUGCCUUAAUAAUUGCAGUUAUAAAGCGUAGGAUCAAUAACAUUGUAAUUUCCUCUCUUUAAGCCAAUGUUCAUAUCAAUAACUUGUAGACUCAAGAAUAUGGAGCUGAUAACCUUACAGUAAUAGAGUAUUAACUUUAUAAUAUGCUCACUGAAUCACACUCUUACCAUGAAAUGAAUUUUACAUAACACUUAAAAUAAUGUUGAGUCUCGACAAUACAUUUCUUUUCAAUGUACUAACCAUAGCUAAGUUAAAGGCUGUUUCAGCAAAUAAAGCAUACACAAAAUUGCUGAGAGUGAGCCUCACCUACUCUAAAUAUGGCUUCAGAGAACAAUUAAUGGCAUUUCUACAUGCUUACUGUUGUUGAUUGCUAUUUCUGUAAACUUUACAAAUUAAAUGUAAUAUUCAUCUGUAUAUAAUAAAUUGAAAAUCACAAUGGCAUGAAAUAUACUCUGGAUUGAGGACUUCAAUGCCCACUAACUGUAUAACUGGCCAGUCUGUCAAAUCCUGGGCUUACAAUAGGUUGCGUUAACACCAGAAUAAAGAAUAAGGCUGAGGCAUUUGCAGUUACCUUCAGUGGAUGAUCCAUCUCAAAAUUUUCUUGAGAUUCCCAACAUCAUUUAGUAUAAAUAAUAUAAAGAAACAGGCGAGAGUGCUUGGUAUAGUCAAACGCAUGGAACCA